rnacentral:rRNA from 1 species
AUUGGGCGUAAAGCGCGCGCUGGUGGUUUCUUAUGUCUGAUGUGAAAGCCCACGGCUCAACCUUGGAGGGUCAUUGGAAACUGGGAGACUUGAGUGCAGAAGAGUAAAGUGGAAUUCCAUGUGUAGCGGUGAAAUGCGUAGAGAUAUGGAGGAACACCAGUGGCGAAGGAGACUUUCUGGUCUGUAACUGAAACUGAGGCGCUAAAGCGUGGGGAUCAAACAGGAUUAGAUACCCUGGUAGUCC